AUGCCGCAGGAGGGCGCCGGUGGUGGAUCGUCUUCCGGCUCGGUGCCGCCCGCGGGCCAGCGCGAGAACGAGGCGGUGCCGCGACCUGGAUACGACGAGGAAGAACGGAAGCGCAAGGGGAAGAUGCCGGCCGUGGACCAGAGCCUGCCGCCGCCGCCGCCGCCCGUCGAGAAGAAGCUCAUGGGCGACGCCAUCCGCGCCCACGCGAACGCGAGCACGUCGCCGCCGCUCCCGGCAUGGAAGGACGUCCCGUUCGACUACGGCGCCGUGAGCCAAAGGCUCCGCGACGUGCUCGAAGGCCUCGGCGUCGUCGCUGGCGCCGGCCCCGUGUGCGUCUACGAGAAGGAGAUGACCGUAUCGGACAGGGGCAAGGACCAGAACCGCCUGCUGAUAUCGUGCAAGGACAACGGCAGCAGCAAUGGCGGUGACGACAGGAGCAGCAAGAAGAGGAAGAACAAGGGCGGCGGUGGCGACGGUGACGAGCAUCGCGCGGCGGCGAAUUUCCGCAAGAUUUUUACGGCCAAGGAGUUGCUCAUCGUGCACCAGGAGGAACAGAAGCAGGAAGCGGAGGGGGUGAUGAUGAAGAAGAAGAAGACGACGACGACGGAGGGGGAUAUGGACAAGGAGAAGGAGAAGCCCGGUCUGGGCGUGCAGGCGUACGACCGCGACGGCGAGAUGUACCAGCUCAAGUGCAGGCACCUCAUGUGCAACAGCGCCUACCGGAUCAUCAAGGACUACGCGCGCUUCCUGGAGAACAACGGCCUGCUCGUCAGGAGGGACAAGCGGAAGCGGUCGCCGGAGGCAGCAGAAGGCAGCGACGGCGGACAGGGCGGCUCGCCGCUCGCCGUGGGGGCGGGCACGGAGGGCAAGAAGAAGAGGCGGAAGGGCAAGGCGCCGUCGCCGGAAGCGGCAGGCAGCGAGGGGCAGAGCAGCUCUCCGUCGCCCGAACCCGACGGCGGGGAGCACAAGGUGCGCCCUGCCCGCAUCGAGCUGUGGGCGUUCCGGUCGCCCAAGCUGACGCAGGGGUGCACCGACCACGCGGACGGCAAGCUCGGGCUGGUCCUGCUGCACUACCUCGAGGCCGACGGCGCCGAGGCCGAGCUUGCCGCGGAUGAGCCUGAGCCGCGUAGUUCUGAGGAGGAAGAUGCCAUGGAACCGGCGGCAAUGCCCAACGUGGGUGAGGCUGCGGCUGCGCACCAGAUGGCCGUGGAUGUGCCGGACGUGGUCGUCGAGGACGGCGCGGGCGCGCAUGAGGACGCCGCCGUUCAUGCCCACGCGGACGCCGUGCCCGUCAUAGAACCGGCGAUGCCCGACGUGGGUGCGCACGAGAUGGCCGUCCAUGUGCCGGACGUGGUCGUCGAGGACGACGGCGCAGGCGCGCAUGAGGACGCCGUUCAUGUCCAUGCGGACGCCGUGCCCGUCAUGGAACCGGCGAUGCCCAACGUGGGCGCGCACGCGAUGGCCGUCCAUGUGCCGGCCGUGGUGCUGCCUGUCCUCGCCGUCGCCGGUGCACACGAGGAGGACGCCGUCCAUGCCCCCAACGAGGACGCCGUGCCGGUCAUGGACGCGGACGAGAGGACGCGACUACUAGAGGCUGCAGAGGGGUUGCUACUGUUAAGUAAGGCACCAGUAGUUUUCUAA
rnacentral:rRNA from 1 species